ACUCAAGUAAGGAAGCCAGACAAGAUUUGGUCCAAGCUUGUUUCAGUCUGUCUAGCUAUUUACAAGGUGGCAGUGAUUCCCUGCAGCAUGGCUGGCACAGACUAGACAUGGUCUUGGAUCCGGAAUCUUCACCAAAACCCCCGUGUACCUACACCCCGACCAGAAACCUACGGACGGAAGUUACAGGUGCUGCAAACUUAAAAACAGCAAGGGGAGGCCGAGUCAAAGCUCUCUGAAAACGGCAUUUUACUGCCCUUUACCUCCAGUGAAGUUCACAGGACGCCACAGGGCUGCAUUACAGGCAAUACUUAACUAUAAUUACUGUUGUGCAGAAAGAACUCAGGUGCAAGUUAUGGCAUUAACCGCCCAGUCAGUCUGAAAAGUAAUUAGGGCAGAUGUUCAUUAGGAACUUCCUAACGAAUCUGUUAACUUCGUUACCUUCCUCCAAUAAACUUUC